AUUGAACGCUGGCGGCAGGCCUAACACAUGCAAGUCGAGCGGAUGAAGGGAGCUUGCUCCUGGAUUCAGCGGCGGACGGGUGAGUAAUGCCUAGGAAUCUGCCUGGUAGUGGGGGAUAACGUCCGGAAACGGGCGCUAAUACCGCAUACGUCCUGAGGGAGAAAGUGGGGGAUCUUCGGACCUCACGCUAUCAGAUGAGCCUAGGUCGGAUUAGCUAGUUGGUGGGGUAAAGGCCUACCAAGGCGACGAUCCGUAACUGGUCUGAGAGGAUGAUCAGUCACACGGGAAGUGAGACACGGUCCAGACUCCUACGGGAGGCAGCAGUGGGGAAUAUUGGACAAUGGGGGAAAGCCUGAUCCAGCCAUGCCGCGUGUGUGAAGAAGGUCUUCGGAUUGUAAAGCACUUUAAGUUGGGAGGAAGGGCAGUAAGUUAAUACCUUGCUGUUUUGACGUUACCAACAGAAUAAGCACCGGCUAACUUCGUG
rnacentral:rRNA from 1 species